CGACUCUGGUAUUGAUUGGUGCUUGCAUCAUGAUUUACAUUUGAGUGAGUGGCGAACUGGUGAGUAACACGUGGGAAACCUGCCCAGAAGCGGGGGAUAACACCUGGAAACAGAUGCUAAUACCGCAUAACAACUUGGACCGCAUGGUCCGAGCUUGAAAGAUGGCUUCGGCUAUCACUUUUGGAUGGUCCCGCGGCGUAUUAGCUAGAUGGUGGGGUAACGGCUCACCAUGGCAAUGAUACGUAGCCGACCUGAGAGGGUAAUCGGCCACAUUGGGACUGAGACACGGCCCAAACUCCUACGGGAGGCAGCAGUAGGGAAUCUUCCACAAUGGACGAAAGUCUGAUGGAGCAACGCCGCGUGAGUGAAGAAGGGUUUCGGCUCGUAAAACUCUGUUGUUAAAGAAGAACAUAUCUGAGAGUAACUGUUCAGGUAUUGACGGUAUUUAACCAGAAAGCCACGGCUAACUACGUGCCAGCAGCCGCGGUAAUACGUAGGUGGCAAGCGUUGUCCGGAUUUAUUGGGCGUAAAGCGAGCGCAGGCGGUUUUUUAAGUCUGAUGUG
rnacentral:rRNA from 1 species